CUCCUGACGCGGCGGUGGCGGCGGCGGCCGGCGGCGCUGAGCUCAGCGCUAUUCUCGGGCUCCCGGGGCACUGCGCCCGAGGGUGUGUCCCCGACCCGGGCUCGCAGCUAUAAGGGGCCGCGGGCGGCCUCAGCCAUGCAGCUCUACAGCAGCGUGUGCACCCACUACCCUGCGGGCACGCCGGGCCCCACGGCCGCCGCCCCGCCUGCCGCCGCCGCCACCACCGCCGCCGCCGCCUCCACCUUCAAGGUCUCCUUGCAAUCCGCCGGCCCCGCCGCCGCCGCCGCCCCGGAGCCGGAUACCGGAGAGCGCCCACCCGCCGCGGCCACCGAGCCCCGCGAAGCCGCCGCUGCUGCCGCCGCCGCCGCCGCCAUGCCCGCCUUCUCUGCCUGCUUCGAGCGGUCCGGGACCGCCACCGCUGCCACCGCCGCCGCUGCCGCCGCCGCCCCGCCCGGCGCGUGCUGCAAGCCGCCGCUGCCGCCGCACUUCACGUCCACGGCGCACAUCGCCGUGCGGGCCCUGGGCGCCGAGCGCCUCCUGCUGCCGCCGCCCGCAGCCCCCGCGCCGCCGCGCCGCGGUUCCUCCGCCUGGCUGCUGGAGGAACUGCUCCGGCCCGACGAGCCCGCGGCCCCGAACGCCGCCCGCGACGUGCCCGACAGGAACUUCCGACUGAGCGAGCACCGCCAGGCCCUGGCGGCCGCCCAGCACCGGGCCCCUGCCCCGGUCCCCGGCAGCCCGGAGUCCGGCCCCGGCCCGUGGGGCGAGGAGCGCCGGGCGGAGCGGAGUCCCCGAGGUUGGGACCACCGGGCGGGCGGGCGCAGCGACGCCUCCGGGACCGACGCGCAUCGACGGCACGACCCCGAGGCCGAGGCUCACCCCGUACCCGCCGCGCUCUCGCGGAGCAGCGGCGAGCCGGCCCCGAACGGCGCGGGCGAAGCGGUAGGCGCGCCCCGGGCGGAUCAGAGAGACGAGAAGCUCGCCCUGUACCUGGCCGAGGUGGAGAGGCAGGACAAGUACUUGAGGCAGAGGAACAAGUACCGAUUCCACAUCAUCCCCGACGGCAACUGCCUCUAUCGAGCUGUCAGCAAGACCGUGUACGGGGACCAGAGCCUGCACCGGGAGCUGAGGGAGCAGACUGUGCACUACAUCGCGGACCACCUCGACCACUUCAGCCCCCUGAUUGAGGGCGACGUGGGGGAGUUUAUUAUCGCGGCUGCCCAAGAUGGGGCGUGGGCUGGGUACCCCGAAUUGCUGGCCAUGGGGCAGAUGCUGAAUGUGAAUAUACACUUAACUACUGGAGGGAGACUGGAGAGCCCCACCGUGUCUACCAUGAUCCACUAUCUGGGCCCAGAGGAUUCUCUAAGGCCUAGUAUUUGGCUCAGUUGGCUCAGCAAUGGACACUAUGAUGCUGUUUUUGACCACUCCUACCCUAACCCAGAGUAUGACAAUUGGUGCAAGCAAACCCAAAUGCAGAGAAAACGCGAUGAAGAACUUGCCAAGUCCAUGGCCAUAUCCCUGUCCAAAAUGUAUAUCGAACAAAACGCAUGCUCUUGAAAAAUCUGAGGACCUGACAAGCCGGGGAAAUGGCGUACAUCAGUUGUGUUGGGAAAACCACACGAACUCUAAUUAGGUCAAUACUAAGCUGUGUCCCUGGAAGAUUAGGUUUCAAAAAUGGCAUUUCCAGAACGUUUCUACUUCUUCCUUCCAAAAUAUUUUCUCAUUAAAAUGAUGGGAAAAUGUAAUCCCGUGAGUACAGAGAUAGUGAAAAACAUCUAUCCUUUUUUGUGUGUCUGGGCACAGCCUUAUUCUGCAGAAUCCUGGACAGAGGACAGCAUUGGAGGUCCAUGGUGACCUCUGAUGGUGGCAUCACAAGUGGAGUUAAGGCCACGCAUUUGAAGUCAGGGUUGGACCCCUGAAUCCCUUUCAUGGAUGCUAAUGUCUAGCUGACAAUGGCUUCUCCAUCCUGGAGGAGCCCUAGGAACUGACCUCGUCGACACUGGACAGAGAACCAAGAAAGGCCCACCAUACUGAAAUCAGGUAUCUACCAGAAAAUUUAGGUGUUAAAAGGUGAGAACCCAGCUUUGCCCCCACCUGGCGUUGAGCAUACCAACUGCUAGAUUUACACCUUGACCUGAGGCAGAUUCCUUUUAUUGGUCUGGGUUAAAAGAAGAGACACUCAAUUGGGAUCCUCAGUAAAAGCCACAAGUCUGGAGCCACUCUGUCACUACAGGCAAGGCUCCGCACCCCCUCUGAGGACCAGCACCGUGUCGUGAAGCAGUUACACAUCUCUGAAACAAAACAGCAAAAUAACCAAAAUAGCAAGUGAACGGGAAAGAGAAAGGCAACAGAAAAGAAUGUAGUGAUUGAGAACAAACCGCCAAAGGAGAGAGAAGACACAAAUCAGCCCACAAAUGACAUCUGCAGGGAGAAGGGCUUGGACCCUGGGGAGUAGAAUGCUAUUUUUAAAACUAUUCUCUAAGUUAAAAAUAGCACAGCCAAAGUCAAAUAUUCAGUAGAAAUUUGGAUGAUAAAAAUGGAAGAAAUCUCUCAAAGUAGAACAAGGAGGCAUGAAAUAUAAAAUAAGACCGAAAAGGAAAGUGAAAAGAUUAAUCUAGAAAGUCCAAUAUCUGACUGUUGUGUUCCUGAAAUAGAACACGGCACUCGUUGACAGGAAAGAUUAGGGAAAAGAUUUCCUAGAACUCCAUGACAGUUUGCAGAUUGCAAGGUCCCUUAGCACCCACAGGGCCAUUCUCGACAGCCAUAGAAGUUGGAUCUGUGGAUUCAGAUGGGAACAGGACCCUUGGAAUGAUGCACUGUGAAACCUGUGCAAUUAGAUUCUGCAGC